rnacentral:rRNA from 1 species
GGGAGGCAGCAGUAGGGAAUCUUCCGCAAUGGGCGAAAGCCUGACGGAGCAACGCCGCGUGAGUGAUGAAGGUUUUCGGAUCGUAAAACUCUGUUAUUAGGGAAGAACAAAUGCGUAAGUAACUGUGCGCAUCUUGACGGUACCUAAUCAGAAAGCCACGGCUAACUACGUGCCAGCAGCCGCGGUAAUACGUAGGUGGCAAGCGUUAUCCGGAAUUAUUGGG